GUCACGAAACGGAGUCGACGCUAGGCACGAGGCAUGUAGACACGACUGAAAUCGCGUUGGGGAGAAACGACCAGUGUCGAGCUUCAUCAAUGCCGGAUCAAUUGCUCUGCCGCCGCCGUGCACAGAUGUCGCGCUCGCCUUCUUCUCCCGCCACCGGUUUUCCUCUCCCGCGUGCUCGCCCUCUCCUGCGUGCUCACCCUCUCCCGCACAGUUUCUCUGGUGCAGGUUCUCUUUCCCGGCCACAAUGCUCUCGCCGCCGGCGCACCUGCUGCUCGCGCUCUCCCACCUCCGGUUUUCCUCUCCUGCGUGCGAGCAGCUUCUUCCCGUGCUCGCUCGAUUGGUGCUUGACCCGGUGCCGCUGCCUCCAAAUAAUCCCUCUCCAAGCCCCCAAUUCCAAACCCUAGCCAUCCGCCUCCAAUCCUACCAAUUCUCUGCGAACAUGAAUCCACUUCGGCCUCCCUCGUCAAGUUCCAGGCAACGCAAGUCAGGGCGAGGCAAAGGUGCUUCUGCCGCCCUCAAGCUUGAUCUAUUGUUGUUGCUCCCGCUGCCCCUACUGAUGGAUCGAGUUUGGCCGUCAGUGAACCCAGCGCCGUAGCAGCAGCAACAUCUCCAACGCUUGAGUCUUUGAGCCGCCGGUUUUCCUGAGUGGUGGAAACGUUCCUCUCCAUUGGGCUCAAGUGAAGGAUGGUGGCUUGUCGAGUACCUGCGUGAAUUGUCUUCUGGAUUACCUGUCCGCACAGAGAUAGCUUCUAUAGUGCACCUGAUGCCACCGUGGUGAAUUUUGCUAUAUGCAUAUCAUGAACUAUACUUAUUCUGUUGCUAUCUAUUAGCUGAGACGAUGGAUGAUGCCAUCUAUCCGAAUUCUUGUUUUAUGAACUAUGCGGUACCUAUUUUGGAUUGCUAUUAUUCUCAAUGGUUGUGGUAACAUCAAGUGUAUUCUGGAUUGCAACCUGACGCUGCCACAUUUCUGAAUAGCUAUUUCGUGUGUUAAAUGGAAUGGGUUGCUAUAUAGUUCUCGAAAUAUAUGGUUAAGCGUAUUUUAGUUCCUUUCUUUGUCAGCGUCUGCUAUGUUUGGAACAUAUAGAAAUGUGGCAGCGUGUGUUGUAGAGAUUAGUUGUCACACUUGAUCCAUCUCAUUUUAAUGAGUCAUUUAAUUUA